GCCAGUAAGCUCCAAAAAGAAAUCCGCGUGAUUUGGUGGGUGAAAAGGCACUGGCAUAAGGGCAGCCAGCCACAGAAGGCUAGCCCAGGGUUGGGUGUGGCCACAGCUUUAGAAGCUGAUGCAAAUGAGUCACCACGGGCUGCAGCCACACCAGGGGACAGAGAGAGCUGGAAAGGCAGAGAAAAGCAACCCCAGGGGCUUGAGGCUGUGUCAGCCCUAAAUAAGGCUUGGCCAGCUCACUGGGCAAGACCAACUUCCAAAUGCCAACCAGGGGCUCCUCCUUGAGUCAGAGGACUCAGCCCUGCAAGUCCUUGAGCUUUGCGAGGGAAGGACACUCCUGGGUUUGUGGUUUUUCCUGCAUCUAGACCACCAGCUAGAGCAUGAGCCUUCAUUUGUUCAUUCUGAGCCCAAGCAAACACUGCAAGCUUGAGACAGCAAUGUAAAGGGAAGCAGCAUUGAAGAGAGGCCACCUCAGGAAGCCUAGUACAAAUCCCUGCCCUGCCGCUUCCUAGCAUCUGACUCAAGGAAAGUUACUCUUGGAGCCCCCAGUUAUAAGGGGGAGGCUAGUGGUGCCAAGUCUAUUGCCAACCUCAAAGGGAAGUCGUUGCAUUGCAGUAAAUGGUGUGUGUCAAGCCCUCCACAAAGUGCCUGGCACAUAGGAAGUCCUCCCCCAGUGGCUGCUGCAUGCAGGCCAUCUGAAAUUGCCAGCAUUAUCCACUUGACCUUGAAGCUGUAGGCGGUCAACUGGCCGAGAAACAGGAAGACGAGAGGCCUACGGAUGUGCCCACGUUCCCACAGCUGACACCUGGCUUCCCCUCUCCCGCCCAGCACACCUUCCAUGACUAGUUACAGGACAUCUCUGCGGAGUGUAUAAGAUUUUCCUCUCUGCCUGGGAGGAGAAGAGGGAGAGUUUCUGCAAAGAUGAGGCUUCCCAUUCAUAAGCAGAAACAAGCAUUUCAGCCUCCUGCAGCCCCAGCUGCCAUGAGGCACGUGGGAUCUGAGCUCCCAACCAGGAAUCAAACCUGUACCCUGCCCUGGAAGGUGAAGUCUUCACCACUGGACCACGUGGAGGUCCCCUGACAGCUGUUUUGAUAAAUAAAGCUUUAUUGGCACACAGCCAA